GAUCAUGGCUACAGAACGACGCUGGCGGCAGGCCUAACACAUGCAAGUCGAGCGAACCCUUCGGGGUUAGCGGCGGACGGGUUAGUAACGCGUGGGAAUAUGCCCUUCUCUACGGAAUAGGUCUCGGGAAACUGGGGGUAAUACCGUAUACGCCCUACGGGGGAAAGAUUUAUCGGAGAAGGAUUAGCCCGCGUUGGAUUAGGUAGUUGGUGGGGUAAUGGCCUACCAAGCCUACGAUCCAUAGCUGGUUUGAGAGGAUGAUCAGCAACACUGGGACUGAGACACGGCCCAGACUCCUACGGGAGGCAGCAGUGGGGAAUCUUAGACAAUGGGCGCAAGCCUGAUCUAGCCAUGCCGCGUGGACGAUGAAGGCCUUAGGGUUGUAAAGUCCUUUCAGAUGGGAAGAUAAUGACGGUACCAUCAGAAGAAGCCCCGGCUAACUCCGUG
rnacentral:rRNA from 1 species